GUUUUUGUAGUUGAAGAGUACAACAACAGUUUUUCAAGCUGUAAUUUUAGGUUUAAGUCCUAACAGGAAUA
rnacentral:tRNA from 1 species